AUUGAACGCUGGCGGCAGGCCUAACACAUGCAAGUCGAACGAGUGGCGGACGGGUGAGUAAUGUCUGGGAAACUGCCUGAUGGAGGGGGAUAACGACUGGAAACGGUAGCUAAUAACGCAUACCAUCAGAUGUGCCCAGAUGGGAAUGGCUAGUUGGUGGGGUAACGGCUCACAAAGGCGACGAUCCCUAGCUGGUCUGAGAGGAUGACCAGCCACCCUGUACCUGAGCCACGGUCCGGACUCCUACGGAAGGCAGCCGUGGUGACUAUUGCACAAGGGGCGCAAGCCUGAUGCAGCCAUGCCGCGUGUAUGAAGAAGGCCUUCGGGUUGUAAAGUACUUUCAGCGGGGAGUCGUUACCCGCAGAAGAAGCACCGGCUAACUCCGUGCCAGCAGCCGCGGUAAUAC
rnacentral:rRNA from 1 species